UUGAAUAGAUGAAAUAAGUUUGUCAACUCAUAUUUUCCUUGAAAUUUUCUUUGAUAGGAAUAAGCGAGUGUUUUUGCUAAAGGUUAAAUGUUACCAGUGCAUGUUUCACUUAAUCUUAAUGCUGGAUAUGAGUAAUUUCUACAAUUAUGUCAUUUGACCAUUAUGUUGGAAAUGUCAUGUCACGACUCAUUAAUGUUUAGUUUUCACUGAUCUUGAUUCUGUGGAAAAGAUUAUUGCAAUAUAUUGGACAUUUUCUUAUCAUUAUUAGGGUUUUGACGAGAUUAAUUGGCAUAACAGCAUUGAUUAUUGAACCAUAACUCAAUCUGAAAAAGAGAAAUCUGCAAAGAAAUUGUUUAUAUCAUAUUUUUACAUUGCUUGUCACAUAACAUACUUUCUAAUACUGUAACAACGAUAUAAUCAUUCUCUCUAAUAUGGUUUCCCGCAAUGUAAUUAAUUUGCUCUUCCCUUCUCUCAUAAACUUUGAUUGAUUGUGCAUACGCAUUAUCGAAAUAGGUUACACAUAUUCGAAUAAGGUAACAUCCUAAGCAUACCUAUAGAAUCAAUAAGCAGCUACGAAUAUGUUGGUCGAUCUACGCCCAAAUUAUUGAUUUAAUUUUUUCACCUAUUUCUCUAUUUUGAUAAAAGAUACGUGAUAUUUUAAUACUGUAAAGGAAAAUAAACACUUACGAAUGGGAUCACCUAUCGUAAAGUUAUGACUGAUUUUGCACUUUAGCUUAUAAACUUCUAUUGUUAGGUUAUAAUAAACAUUGCAGAUCAACUUUUAUAGGAGAAAUAGUAAUAGGUAAACUGUAUGAAUAUCACAAGAACAGUAAAUCAAACGAUGAUUAAUGAUUAAUUGUGAUGCAUUUCACUUUCAUAGCCAUCAUAUUUUUAGAUUGAACCUAGCCAAGGGCACCGUGCUGACGAUACGUCACUUAACGCAAUUUUGCUUGUGUGUAAGUCACUAGAAGGUAGACACUUUGGUGGAACAAUCACUUCAGAAGUUGGGCCUUAUGGAGACUGGGGUGGCAUAAUUAUGUGUCCUGAUAAUAUGUUUCUGAAAAAGUUUGCGUUACAAGUUGAAGGGUACCAACAUUAUGAGGACGACACGGCUGCAAACUAUAUUAAGUUCAGAUGUGGAUAUAUGGAUUCUGGAUCAUCUAUCUACGAACUUGCACAUGCGCCAGGAUAUGGGUUAUGGGGAGUAAUGAAUGGAUGGAGUAGGACAUGCCCAACAAACUCUGCAAUAUGCGGCAUACAGACUAGAAUGGAAGAUUAUCAAUAUGACGGAGAUGACACUUCUCUCAAUGACGUCAAAUUCUUCUGUUGUAGUGAUGAUUCUUAUAAAAAGUAGAAUGUAAAAUGUUAAGGUAGAAAACUCCUAAGGAACUGUAAAAUGUACAAUAUUGUACAGUUAUAUGCCUAAUAGGACACCUGUAUGCAAAUUUUAAACAAAAUGUACCGUAUGACUUAUAAAAUUGUUCUGAACUAAAACUUGACUAUUAGAAGGGUUCUUUUUCAGCUAUGAGGAAACUGUAAAUAAUCUAUAAUAUCAUUAUUAUGAUAAAUUUGUUUCCUAUAAAUUAUUGUUAAGCAACAAAUAAUAGGAUUCAGUUAAAAAUCGCACGUGAAAAAUAAUUGUGUGUACACAAAAAGUUUUUAAUAUGUAUAAAUAGAAUAAUUAACCUGUAAUAGCAGCUGUAGAAAAUGAUUUUUUUAUGUAUUAUAAUUAUAUAAUCAUGAAACACAAACUUAUGAAAUGUUUCUUGCA